rnacentral:rRNA from 1 species
CCUACGGGAGGCAGCAGUGGGGAAUAUUGGACAAUGGGCGCAAGCCUGAUCCAGCCAUGCCGCGUGAGUGAUGAAGGCCUUAGGGUUGUAAAGCUCUUUCAGUGGGGAAGAUAAUGACGGUACCCACAGAAGAAGCCCCGGCUAACUUCGUGCCAGCAGCCGCGGUAAUACGAAGGGGGCUAGCGUUGUUCGGAUUUACUGGGCGUAAAGCGCACGUAGGCGGAUUGGUCAGUUAGGGGUGAAAUCCUGGAGCUCAACUCCAGAACUGCCUUUAAUACUGCCAGUCUCGAGUCCGGAAGAGGUAAGUGGAACUCCUAGUGUAGAGGUGGAAUUCGUAGAUAUUAGGAAGAACACCAGUGGCGAAGGCGGCUUACUGGUCCGGUACUGACGCUGAGGUGCGAAAGCGUGGGGAGCAAACAGGAUUAGAUACCCCGGUAGUC